rnacentral:rRNA from 1 species
GUAGGUGGCAAGCGUUGUCCGGGAAUUAUUGGGGCGUAAAGCGCGCGCAGGCGGUUCGUUUAAGUCUGAUGUGAAAGCCCACGGGCUCAACCGUGGAGGGUCAUUGGAAACUGGAGAACUUGAGUACAGAAGAGGAAAGCGGAAUUCCACGUGUAGCGGUGAAAUGCGUAGAGAUGUGGAGGAACACCAGUGGCGAAGGCGGCUUUCUGGUCUGUAACUGACGCUGAGGCGCGAAAGCGUGGGGAGCAAACAGGAUUAGAUACCCUGGUAGUCCACGCCGUAAACGAUGAGUGCUAAGUGGUUACGGGGGUUUCCGCCCCUUAGUGCUGCAGCUAACGCAUUAAGCACUCCGCCUGGGGAGUACGGCCGCAAAGGCUG